AGAGGAUUUGUUUUGGUGAAUUUGUUUGCUUCUGUAGUUUUGAAAUGACUUUCAGUGCGAAAAGAAAUCGUUUCGUUGAAUACAUGAAGUAAUAAAUACAAUCCGAUUUUCAUCACCUGUGUCCUAAAAGCAGCUGUAGCUUCUGUGAGUGCCGGCAUGCAGCAGAACGCCUGUUCACACUCUGCGGAAGUCAGCAGGUGUUUCUCCUAUUGUUAGGUGCAUCUCUGCUUCUUCACUCAGCUUUCUUCCUAAGAACCACGCAGAAGAUCCGAAGAACGCCUCUGGCCAUCGGCGGUGUUUAGCAUCACUCAGACCACGCAUCUGCGUGGCCCCCUGAGGUCACAACUAUACAUGAAAGAGGGACUGGAGUGGAACAGACUGGCCUGGAGUUACAGACCAUACUGCCCCAAAUUCAAAUUUGUACAUAUCAUAUCAUAUCAUAUCAUAUCAUAUCAUAUCAUAUCAUAUCAUAUCACAUCAUAUCAUAGAAGGUGCCAUUGGUUGUCUGCUGUUUUAUGCUGAAUUAUCAUUUGAAAUGUUUAGAUAUUUAAGUAAAGUAUCGGUAAAGUAAAAAGUGUGGCACGACCAUGAAUUCAAUUCCUCUUCAAUUUAUUCACAGCCAAAAUGUCUAAUUCUUGGUGAAAUUGUUGUUUUAUUUUAUUUUUAAAUUUGGAAUUUUUAAAAAAAUAUAUUUCCUCCCCCUCCCCCCCCCCACUUUUGUGCUGACCCUAUCCUCAUUCGGUCACUUCACCAUCUCACCAUCCACACGCUUCGCAUUUUAAUGAUCCUGCUGCAGUGGCAUAUCAUUGCUCUUUUAAAGUAGAGUGUUUGAAGGAUGUAUAUUUAUGAAAUAUAGGCGAUAUGGUUAAUUGCCCAGGACAUCACCAUCUGAGAUGGCAUAGCAAACCUCCCUCUGUCUUAUGACACACUCACAAGUUAUUAAAAUUCCUUAUACCUCAGGCUUCUAUUUUGAAAGAA